GACGAACGCUGGCGGCGUGCUUAACACAUGCAAGUCGAACGGUGAAGCGCCUUCCUUUUUGGUGGGUGUGGAUGAGUGGCGAACGGGUGAGUAACACGUGAGUAACCUGCCCCCUUCUUCUGGAUAACCGCAUGAAAGUGUGGCUAAUACGGGAUAUUCUGGGUCUGUCGCAUGAUGGGUCUGGGACAGAUAUUGUUUCGGUGGGGGAUGGUCUCGCGGCCUAUCAGCUUGUUGGUGGGGUGAUGGCCUACCAAGGCGGUGACGGGUAGCCGGCCUGGGAGGGUGGACGGUCACACUGGGACUGAGACACGGCCAAGACUCCUACGGGAGGCAGCAGUGGGGAAUAUUGAACAAUGGGCGCAAGCCUGAUGCAGCGACGCCGCGUGAGGGAUGGAGGCCUUCGGGUUGUGAACCUCUUUCGCCAGUGAAGCAGGCCUGCCUCGUUUGUGGGUGGGUUGACGGUAGCUGGAGAAGAAGCGCCGGCUAACUACGUG
rnacentral:rRNA from 1 species